rnacentral:rRNA from 1 species
GCCGCUUCGGUGGUGGAUUAGUGGCGAACGGGUGAGUAACACGUGGGCAAUCUGCCCUGCACUCUGGGACAAGCCCUGGAAACGGGGUCUAAUACCGGAUAUGACACGGGAUCGCAUGGUCUCCGUGUGGAAAGCUCCGGCGGUGCAGGAUGAGCCCGCGGCCUAUCAGCUUGUUGGUGGGGUGAUGGCCUACCAAGGCGACGACGGGUAGCCGGCCUGAGAGGGCGACCGGCCACACUGGGACUGAGACACGGCCCAGACUCCUACGGGAGGCAGCAGUGGGGAAUAUUGCACAAUGGGCGCAAGCCUGAUGCAGCGACGCCGCGUGAGGGAUGACGGCCUUCGGGUUGUAAACCUCUUUCAGCAGGGAAGAAGCGCGAGUGACGGUACCUGCAGAAGAAGCACCGGCUAACUACGUGCCAGCAGCCGCGGUAAUACGUAGGGUGCGAGCGUUGUCCGGAAUUAUUGGGCGUAAAGAGCUCGUAGGCGGCUUGUCGCGUCGGAUGUGAAAGCCCGGGGCUUAACCCCGGGUCUGCAUUCGAUACGGGCAGGCUAGAGUUCGGCAGGGGAGAUUGGAAUUCCUGGUGUAGCGGUGAAAUGCGCAGAUAUCAGGAGGAACACCGGUGGCGAAGGCGGAUCUCUGGGCCGAUACUGACGCUGA